ensembl:lncRNA
GGCUGAAACCAAAUCCAGCAGCACGGCCUCAGCUGGGGAAGGACUCAGUGGUGGUGAGGACGCACCCGAGAUUAGCGGGGCCCUUUCCAUCAGUGCCAGGGGUGACUUUACCACCCUUAGACCAUAACGCCACGAGAAGGACCCCAUGCAACAUAAACCCAGAGCCCAGAUCUUUGCCUGAAUACGGCCUGGAACUCAUGGCUGUGCCCCCUCGCAGCCCUUCACGAGUGGAAUUUGGGGCAUCGCCCGGAGCUGACGGCCCUGCAGCGGCACGGGGGUGUUGCUUUCCCCAUUGCCUCCCCACGCAGGGAUACGGCCCUCGGAAUCCUCCAGCGAUGCGUUCUCGUGGGGAGGGGGAAUUGUGUCCCGGCGUGGAAAUACGCG